rnacentral:lncRNA from 1 species
CUUCCUAUAUAUUUUAAAUCAUAUCUAGAUUACUUAUAGUACCCAAUACAAUGUAAAUGCUAUAUAAACAGUUGUUAUACUGUGUUGGUUUUUAUUUGUAUUAUUAUUUUUUUCUUUUUUAGAGAUGGGGUAGCUCUCUGUUGCCCAGGCAGUGGUGUAAUCAAAGCUCACUGCAAUAUCUCAAACUCCUGGGCUCAAGCAAUCCUCCUGUUUCAGCCUCCCAAAGAGUUGCGAUUACAGGCAUGAGCCACCAUGUCCUGCCUCAUAUUAUUUUUUUAGGGUCGUAUUAUUAUUUUUUAUUGUGAGUUUUUUUCUCCUACAUUUUCUAUUCAUAGAGAUUUGUAAGAGUUAGAGAUGAGAAAAGGGUUUUUUGGAGAAAACUGGUGGUGUUCUCUGUCCUUGCAUCAUCCCUAAAGAGGGAUGAGAAUAUGUCCCCCUCCACCUGAAGUUAACAGAAGAGAGCCUCAAGGAGGUCACCCAGGGAUAUUGAUUAGCACCCUCUGCCAUUUGAAGGAAACCCAGUACUGGUGCUGACUCCCACCUGGAAAGGCUAAAAAGAGAGAGAAAUGAGGAAAUAUUGAGUUGCUGCUUUGGUGGCAAGAAGAAAGAGUGGCUUCAUGGGGCUGGAUCUAUGCACCCAGAAUUUGCUGGAGCUGGAAGAGUCCAUGGCUGUUUCCUGUGGGCCAGAUGUGGGCUACAAGAAGGAGAGAGAGAGAGAGAGAGAAUGUGGGAUCAUCCUCGGCCCCAUCUAAGUGGUGUCCUUGAAAGAGAAGACAGACCUCAACAGUAGGAACCCAAAAGUAUGGGGGAAUGCCCAGAGGCUGAGAGCAAGCAAUGAGUUGGAUGAGAGACCAAUCUGCCUUCCAUAGAAACCCUAGGAAAGACCCCGCAGAGUGGGAGAUCCCCAAGGAAGUCUUAAAACACUCAAGAUAGACAGUGACCUUGGCCAUCUGCCAAGACCAGAGAACCCAGAAGCUAGAUCUCUCAGAACUGGUGUCGAGAAAGAACUUUCCUGAUGAUCUGAUUUAUUUUCCUGCCCUCAAACUUCAACCCCAAAAGGGUCGGAAACUGCAGUUGGCGAGGUGGAGAAGCAAAUCUACCAGGGGCCUCCUGCCAGCAGUGAGCCGAGCUGAGCUGGAGGAGGAGGAAAGAUUCAACUUUACAUUAAGUUCAGAAUUUCAUUAUGACACGGAAAAACAACAUUGUAAUUGCCAAAACUGAGCCUGUGUUUGGCAACAUAAAGUGGUCCAAGAUCACUUUACCAGCUAAGGGACUAGUGGAGCAGCGUUCAUCCUGGGGACAGGAGGAAGUGUCUCCCUGGGACUAGACUAAAGGGUCCCUGCUUGGGCAGUAGGAAUGAAGGCACUUUAUCAAUCCAUUACUUGCUUGUUCCAUGUCCGGGAUACAUAAGGAAAACAGAAAGGAGGAGAGGCAGGUACAUAGGGAAAGAGAGAGAGAGAAAGAGAGAUAACAGAAAGGGAGAUAGGAGAAGUGGCAGGGGAGAGACGGGCAGGGGAGGAGAGAGAAGAGGUGAGCAAGUAACCAUGAAGAGUAAUAGAAAAAGAAGACACAGGAAGAGAGGAGGAGAGAAAUAAGCAACGGGUCCAUGCCCCCAUCUACCCUUUAUCUUCGACUUUUGUUUGCCACUUGUAACAGGAACUGUCCUGUCCUGCCCAAAUUUCCUCUGUGGAUUCCUACUGCAAGUACCUGGGGCUUCCCCUUAGGGCUUUCUCUCAGCCCACUCCCUGCAGCAGGACAAAAAAGCCAAGGAGUUCCCGUCCCCAGAGCAGUCCUCAAUCAAAGACAGAUGUGAGAUGAGAAGCAAAUCUCCCCACGUGCUCACCCCUCAGGUGGGGUUUUGCUGAGGCACAUCCGCCUCUCAGGUUCUGUAGUGGUAUGGAGUUCCAGCUGCCCCCAGUGCUACCUGCUUGGUAAAAAUGUGAAACCAAGAGGCUUCUCUCACCAUUCUCCCACCCUUCCCAAAGGGAGACCAGAUCUCAGCUCAGGGGAUCCCGCCAGCCCCAAGCAAGCCAGGCAGUGUCCUGGUGUGGCAGCUCACAGGCCCUGGCAGUGCAUUUCAAGGGUGGUGCUGCUUCCUGCCCGUCUGUUUGGGAGCACAUUCAGGAGACAUGAGCAGAUGUUUGGCAAAUGUUCAACCUUGUCCAUGUCAGCCAACAAUAACACAGCGCAGAGACGAUGCAGGGAUGCAGGAAGGGAGGAUACUUGCUUAGCAGCUAGGGAUGGCCACAGGAGACACCAUCUCCAGCUCCUUCUGGGUGGGAGGGAGGCAGAGUGUUCAUGCAUGACUUGCAUGCGUGAGUUAGAGCAUGGGACGCACAGUGCCAGUAUUCUAGGGUGGAGUCCUGG